rnacentral:lncRNA from 1 species
UGGAGCUGGGGGUUUGAGCUGGGGCACUGGAGUGGGGUGGGGUGUCCAAGCACCUCCUGGCCCCUCUGAACCAUAGCACCAAGGCUGGCAUCCUCCAGCACCCAGGAAAGACAGAGGCCUGCUCAAGGCCUGGCACCAAGACCUAUGGACUCCAGGGCCUGGGUUCUGACCACGCUGUUGCCUGGCACCCUCCUCCCCAUGUGAGAGCUGGUGGGGAAACCCGCCCCACAGAGCUCCCCCCACCACCAGGCAGCACGAAGGUUCUUCUUUCUGCAGCUGAAGCCACCUGCCUGGGCCGCAAGCCUUGGCCUCACCUGGAGCUCAGCUCCCCGCUCCCGAGCCCAGCCAAGCCCAGGUCCUGCUCCCUCCCCAAGCCUGACGCCUGACAUCCCUCCACUGCCGGCGGCUGCUCUGCCUGCAGUGUGACAGGGAAUCUCUGUUGCAACGGAGGCCAGCUCAGUCCAGCGGGGAGGAGGAGCUGUCCCGGGCCGGUGGGCAGGGCCAAUUGGGAGAGACAGGUGUCUGGAAGGACCCGGAGGAUGAGGCCUGGAGCUAAAGGCUGGACCCUGAGGACACUGUCCUGCCGGCUCGUCUGGAGCAGGUCAGGCCCAGCAGGGCAUCCCCCGGAUAGUCCCUCAGAGCACGUCCAGGCUGUGCCCACUUCCCAAGGACAUCACCAAGUCACUGUCCACCCUCAGAGCACCUGCUCCUCACACACGCUGUACCCCGGACUCCCCCGGGUGCCAGGGAUAGGCCAGCGGGGAACGAGGAGUGACCAGAACCCAGGACUCCCGCCCUCAUCUGACAGCCACUUAGCCCACUUCCCACUGGGGACUCUUCCUUGGAAGGUUGCUCUGGAAACCCCCUACUGUGUGGGGUAACCUCGCCGGGCACCCCACCCUGGCCGAGCACUGCCAUGCCACACAAGAAGGAUGGAACCUUCCUCCCCAAGCUGGGGUGGGGCAGGGGCUGGGGGAGAUGGAAGGCCCUGCACCGCCCCCAGCCUCCCUGCCACUCCCCACACCUGGGAGAUGCUCAGGACCCCCAUGUAGCCACGGCCGCUCCCCCCAGCUUCUUACCAGGUCGAGGACAGAUGGGGACGGACGCUGCUGCCUCGGCACCUGCUGAUUAGUGCGGCCCACCCUGAGGGGCGCCCCUGUUCCCCAAGGUGGUUGGGAGGGCACUCGCGGGUCCUGGGGAAGUUGGAUGGCCCUGGGAAUGGCGGGUCCUGGAGGGUGCGGGAGCCUGAGGGGGAACUUGGGGGUCUUAGGUUAGACCGGGGCCUCCCCGCGUGGGGAGGGCGCAGCAGACUGUACCUGGGGGCGCAUUGGCCGUCGUCAAACUCGAAGGUCCGGUUGGUGUAGCCCCCGCCGCGCGCCUCCCGGCAGACGCCCCCCGGGGUCCGCGCCCCGUCAGGGAGUGGCAUGCGGCCUGGCAGCUCGGACCCGACCCGAGGGAGAAGCGAGUGGGAGCCGCCACCUUCUUCCCUCGCGUUGCCCUGAAAAACAUUUUUUUUUUCCUCGCAGAUUAGCGAGGAAAAGACGCCAGUUCCAGGGUCGGGUGCAGGCGUCUG